AGGACGAACGCUGGCGGCGUGCUUAACACAUGCAAGUCAAGGGGGCCCAGCAAUGGGCAACUGGCGAACGGGUGCGUAACACGUGAGCAACCUACCGAACUGUGGGGGAUAGCCGGCCUAACGGCCGAGUAAUACCGCAUACGCUCUCAGAGAGGCAUUUCUUUGAGAGGAAACCUACGGGACAGAUCGAGGGCUCGCGGCCUAUCAGCUAGUUGGCGAGGUAACGGCUCACCAAGGCAACGACGGGUAGC
rnacentral:rRNA from 1 species